rnacentral:lncRNA from 1 species
AAUGCACAUUUAUCUUUGUACAUAUAUGAAAUUUUUAUACUUUCAUGAUUUUCAGGAUUGAAGGUGCUCAAGGUCAAGAUUACUUAAGUACAAGACCAAAGCUCCAAGUUGUUAUGUUGUCUUUAAUGCUUGCAAUUUACAAUGACAUAUUAUUAAUGCUACCGCUAGCCAAAUAAUCAUUACAUUUGAAUAGUAAUGAUGAAUACGAAGUAUUGUGCAUGUAUAUGCUGAAAGCAUGGUGGUUUUUCUGUUAGAUUAUUGGAAAUUUAGUAUCUAGCAU